GGGGGAAUAUUGCACAAUGGGCGCAAGCCUGAUGCAGCCAUGCCGCGUGUAUGAAGAAGGCCUUCGGGUUGUAAAGUACUUUCAGCAGUGAGGGAAGGUGGAUAUGUUAAUAGCAUAUUCAUUUGACGUUAGCUGCAGAAGAAGCACCGGCUAACUCCGUGCCAGCAGCCGCGGUAAUACGGAGGGUGCGAGCGUUAAUCGGAAUUACUGGGCGUAAAGCGCAUGCAGGUGGUUUGUUAAGUCAGAUGUGAAAGCCCGGGGCUCAACCUCGGAAUUGCAUUUGAAACUGGCAAACUAGAGUACUGUAGAGGGGGUAGAAUUUCAGGUGUAGCGGUGAAAUGCGUAGAGAUCUGAAGGAAUACCGGUGGCGAAGGCGGCCCCCUGGACAGAUACUGACACUCAGAUGCGAAAGCGUGGGGAGCAAACAGGAUUAGAUACCCUGGUAG
rnacentral:rRNA from 1 species